AAACAACAACAACAACAACAACAACAACAAACCCAGUGUAUUCGCACCUAGUAGGGUCUGGGGGAGGGGGUAAGAUGUACGCAGUCCAUACCUCUACCUCUGAUGAAGUAGAAAUGCUGUUUCUGAUAGACCCCCGGCUCAAGGCACGAGAUACCACACAAACACAUAGUAAAGCACAGAAGCAGAUUACAUAACAUAAAUACGACACCCAUAAGUAAUAUAAAACAGAGGAAAGCAGAGGAAAGCACACAGAUUCGUAAUAAAACAUGGAACACGGAACACGGAAUCAUAACAGGAAUAAAACCCCCACCAAGUAAU
rnacentral:lncRNA from 1 species